rnacentral:tRNA from 1 species
GGGGUCAUGGCUCAGUGACAGUGACAGAGCAUCAGCUUGGCAUGCAGAAAUCCCCAGGUUCAAUCCCUGACAUCUCCA